rnacentral:rRNA from 1 species
UACGAAGGGGGGCUAGCGUUGCUCGGAAUUACUGGGCGUAAAGGGAGCGUAGGCGGAUAGUUUAGUCAGAGGUGAAAGCCCCAGGGCUCAACCUUGGAAUUGCCUUUUGAUACUGGCUAUCUUGAGUACGGAAGAGGUAUGUGGAACUCCGAGUGUAGAGGUGAAAUUCGUAGAUAUUCGGAAGAACACCAGUGGCGAAGGCGGCCAACUGGACGAAUACUGACGCUGAGACUCGAAAGGCGUGGGGAGCAAACAGG